rnacentral:rRNA from 1 species
UACACAUGCAAGUCGAACGAUGAAACCGCUUCGGUGGUGGAUUAGUGGCGAACGGGUGAGUAACACGUGGGCAAUCUGCCCUUCACUCUGGGACAAGCCCUGGAAACGGGGUCUAAUACCGGAUAACACUCUGUCCCGCAUGGGACGGGGUUGAAAGCUCCGGCGGUGAAGGAUGAGCCCGCGGCCUAUCAGCUUGUUGGUGGGGUAAUGGCCUACCAAGGCGACGACGGGUAGCCGGCCUGAGAGGGCGACCGGCCACACUGGGACUGAGACACGGCCCAGACUCCUACGGGAGGCAGCAGUGGGGAAUAUUGCACAAUGGGCGAAAGCCUGAUGCAGCGACGCCGCGUGAGGGAUGACGGCCUUCGGGUUGUAAACCUCUUUCAGCAGGGAAGAAGCGAAAGUGACGGUACCUGCAGAAGAAGCGCCGGCUAACUACGUGCCAGCAGCCGCGGUAAUACGUAGGGCGCAAGCGUUGUCCGGAAUUAUUGGGCGUAAAGAGCUCGUAGGCGGCUUGUCACGUCGGAUGUGAAAGCCCGGGGCUUAACCCCGGGUCUGCAUUCGAUACGGGCUAGCUAGAGUGUGGUAGGGGAGAUCGGAAUUCCUGGUGUAGCGGUGAAAUGCGCAGAUAUCAU